rnacentral:tRNA from 1 species
GAGAUCUUAGCUUAAUAAAAGCACUUGGGUUGCAUUCAAGGGAUGUGAGAUAAAGUCUUGCAGAUCUUA